CCCUCCAAUCCCGCAUUGUUCCCGGCUCGGCGGGAGGAGGAGGAGCAGGGCCAAGGGCCAGCGGGAAGGCAGGCGGGAAGGCGGGCGCCGGGACGUGCUGGAGCCGCCUGUCAUGUUGGUGGAGCUGCUCUUCCAGGCUGCCUGUGUGUCCCUGUUCCUCUCCAGCGGCCAGGGCAGGGUGUAUCCCGCGAGGAAGAAGCCGGCCAGCUUUGCCGUGGAGAGGGGGCUCAGGACAGGGUGGCCUCAGGCUCUGGUGUCCCACAGGCGCCGCGUGGGGCCCCACGUCUGCCUCCCAGGCUCCGGCAGCGGAUGUUGUCCUGGCUGGAUGGUGUCCCCGGGCAGCGGGAAGUGCACCCUGCCGCUCUGCUCCUUCGGCUGCGGUGGUGGUUCCUGCAUCGCUCCCAACCUUUGCAUGUGCCCGGAUGGAGAGCAGGGAAUCACCUGCCCAGAGCCACCGGGGACUUGUGGAGAGUACGGCUGUGACCUGUCCUGUAACCACGGCGGCUGCCAGGAGGUCGCCCGCGUGUGUCCCGUCGGAUUCUCCAUGGCCGAGACCGCCAACGGCGUCCGCUGCACCGACAUCGAUGAGUGCCAGAGCGCGGCCUGCGAGGGGACGUGCCUGAACACGGAGGGCGGCUUCGCCUGCGAGUGCGGAGCCGGCCGGGAGCUCUCUGCUGACCGCCGCAGCUGCCGGGACACAGAUGAAUGCCAGGCCACGCCGUGCCAGCACCGCUGCGAGAACAGCGUGGGCAGCUACCGCUGCUCCUGCCGGCCGGGAUACCACCUCCACGGGAAUCGGCAUUCCUGCGUGGAUGUAGACGAGUGCCGGCGGCCUGGCACGCGCCGCUCCUGCCAGCACAGCUGCCACAACAUUCCUGGCAGCUUCCGCUGCUCCUGCCGCCCCGGAUACCGGCUCAGUGCAGACAGGGUGUCCUGUGAAGGGUACCCCAAAUCUAUUCUGGCCCCAUCGCCCAUCCUGCAAUCCCUGCAGCAUCCACCCACCCUUGUCCUGCUCCCUCCUGGCUCCCACCUGCUCCCGCGGGGCUCCCCCUCUCCCCACCUCCCUGUGGCAGCUCCUGGUACCCAAUUUCCUCCCUCCUCUCCAUCCCUGUCCCCCGAGCCAUCCCCACGUGCCAUGGGAGCCCCCAGCACGUCCAUCCCACCAUCCCAUCAUUGUUGGCACCGGGGAAUCUCUCGGGAGCCCGGCAGUCGCUGGACAGAGCCAGGCUGCCAGAGCUGCACCUGCCAGGGGGGACGAGUCCUCUGUGACACCGUGAGCUGCUCUGUUCCCUGCUCCCACCCGCUUCCCGCUCCGGCUGGGGGUUGCUGCCCCACAUGCACAGGGUGCCUGCACGAGGGGGUGGCCAGGGCCGAGGGCGAUGUCUUCUCCCCAUCCAAUGGGAAUUGCACCGUCUGCGUCUGCUUGGCCGGGAAUGUCUCCUGCCUCUCCCCGGAAUGUCCCCCAGGAUCCUGCCCCAGCCCCUCUCUGGCUGACUGCUGCUCCUGCAAUCCAGGUGAUCCCAGGAGCCCUAGUCUGGGGUGUGAGUACCCCCGGGCUGGGCUGGGGGUUAGGGAAGAGCCGUGCUUGGCUCUCCAGCACCUCUCCUUCCCCUUUUCCCAGAAAAGUGCAAUUUCCGGGGACGCACAUACGCGCACGGAGCCCGGUUCAGCCUGGAUGGGGACGACUGCACCACCUGUGUCUGCCAGGGAGGAGAGGUGGAAUGUUCCUUCACUCCCUGCCCCGUGCUGGAUUGUCCCCAGCACCAGCGGCAGCUGGGUCCCGGGCAGUGCUGCUCCACCUGCCGGGACCCUCCAGCCCCUGCCGGGAUCCUACCCAGGUUGCUUCCUGGAUGACAAUGGCGUGGAGUUUCCCGUUGGACAGAUCUGGUCUCCGGGCGAUCCCUGUGAGUUAUGCAUCUGCCAGGCAGACGGCUCCGUGAGCUGCCAGCGCACGGAUUGUGUGGAGACGUGUCCUUAUCCCAUCCGCAUUCCCGGGCAGUGCUGCCCCGACUGCUCCGCAGGCUGCACCUACAUGGGGAGGAUCUUUUCCAACAACGAGACCUUCCCGUCGGCGCUGGAUCCCUGCCUGAGCUGCAUCUGCCUGCUGGGCUCGGUGGCCUGCUCGCCUCUGGAAUGUGCCAUCGUGUGCUCCUACCCCUUCCACCCCGAGGGUCGGUGCUGCCCCGUCUGUGAGGACUGCAACUACCAGGGCAGGAAGGUGGAGAACGGCCAGAGCUUCAUUCCCGAGGGACAGCCCUGUACCCGCUGCACCUGCCAGCUUGGAGAGGUGAGCUGUGAGGAGAGGCCGUGCCCCAGUUCCUGCUCUGAGCCCCACACACUGCCCGUGGGCUGCUGCCCAUCCUGCCCAGGUAAUGGGAUCCCUGGACCCAUUCCCAGGCACUUGGAUGUGCCCCCUCCGGACUGGGGGUCCUGGGAAAGAGGCUGGGCUGGAGCAGAAGACUGAGGGAACCCAGAGGUUGGAGGAACCAGUGUCAAAGACCACAGUGAAUUCCUGAGGACAAGGUGACCGUUCCAUGGAUCCAGCACGUGGUGACGUGACCGGAGCCAAGUUGCCCAAUCCCGCUCCUGUGACCUUCAUCCAGAGGCAUCCAGAGCUUGGCUUUCCCCCAGCUCGUCCCAGUUUCCCCCCACUUCAGGGACUUUGGAAGUGGGAAUGGAAUGACAGGAGAAGGCUCCAAACUGGAAAACAGGGUAUUGGGAGGAACCUCUUGCCUGUGAGGCUGGUGAGGCCCUGGAAUAGAUUUCCCAGAGAAGCUGUGGCUGCCCCAUCCCUGGAAGUGUCCAAGGCCAGGCUGGAGAAACCAGCCUGGAAUGUGUUCCUGUAAAUUCUUGAGUUACCAAGUUUUCCUCCUUUUUUGGCCAAAAUAGUAGAGAAAACAAAAAAUAUGAAGUUUUCCCAGGGUUAUUUAACCAUUGAAUUACCAAAACUGCCAUCCUUGGAGAUCAGGAUUCCUGUUUUCUCAAUGGAAAAGAACCCACAUUUGCCCAAUUAUGGCAAGUUCUAGGACAAGCUCGUUGUGCUGCUGGUAAAUCCCAUAAAAGCAGAACAAUGGAUCCAACAGGGAUGGAUUUUUGGAUGGAUGAUAUCCACAGAAGGAAGAAGCUGUGGAAUUCAGGACUGGGGAAAAAAAAUGGGAAUUGUGAUUUAGCACUAAUUAAAUCCAGAAUAAAAUCUGGGAGGAUGGAAAAAUAACCCCUUUUAGGGCGUGAAACGGCUUCCUGGGAGAGAAAUCCUGAAUUUUCCAAACCUUGGCGGGGAAAUGGAGGGCAUGAGAUGCUGGAUCUCGGAAUAAUCCAUCCGGGUGCUGGGAGCUCUGUGGAUGGGAGCAGGUGGCCUCCCUGCCACAGCUUUCCUUGGCACCAGAGGGCACCACAGCAUGCAGAGAUCCCAAAAACCCCCCAGCUGGAAAAAUGGAUCUGGAAGCUUUCCCUCCUGGCUGAUGCAGCCGGGGCUGGGUGAGGAUUCCCAGGCAAUAAAAUUCUCCCAGAAUUUAGGCUUUUACCGGCAAAAUUCAGAUUUUUUAAAUGUCGUUUUGAUGUGGAAAUACCCCUUGGGAUGAAUUUAACUUCCAUGGGAAUCACCCUCUGGAUCAAACAGGGAUUUUCAGGCUUUUGGGACAUCAAAACUCCUUCUGACAAAACUUCCUCAAUUUUAUCUCUGCAGCCUCCCAAAAAAUUCCCCUUAUGGAGACAGAGCUUUUAUUGGAAAUGGAUUCAUGAAGUCAACUUUUCCAGGCCCUGUUCCCAGUUUUUCUUGUCCCUUCCCUAAAGGCUUUUAUCACACGGGUGCUUUAUCGGAGCUGUCAGAUGAAAGGAGGGAAAUCUGACGCUCCUGAGGUGUCAAAUUUCCCGGAUUGGAUUCAAA